GAUUCAAUUAUCUCCCAAGUCCAGAGGAGGGAUUCUAUUGUUUGUGUAUGGGAGUGUCUCACUGUAUGACUCUGUUUUUAUUGGUUUAUUCACUUUGUGUCCCUGUGCCCAAUAAGGUCCACCUGGGUGUCGCCAUUGUUGGGAAACUUGCAUAAAAGGCCAGUGUGCCUCCACUAAAAGGUAUUCCAGUUUACACUCCAAAACUGUGUGCCGUCCUGUUAUUGGAGGGAAAGAAGAUUUACUUCUGUGUCUGCUGUUCCAGCUUGCAGGGGAUUCCUUGUAAGGACUAGAGCUAAUUCCCCAUUCGGUUCCAUAAAGGAUCGGUUCCAGGGCCCGAGUUAAGCCACAGUGGCGGUGGGCAGAACUGUUGCUCUUUGUUCUCUGUUCCAGCUAGGAAGCAGUCCCCAGCCAGGGGUAUAGUGAUGUACCGAACGGUUCGCUGGCGAACGGUUCCUGGCGAACAUAGCAUGUUCGCGUUCGCCACGGCGGGCGAACAUAUGCGCGGUUCGACCCGCCCCCUAUUCGUC